rnacentral:rRNA from 1 species
GACGAACGCUGGCGGCGUGCUUAACACAUGCAAGUCGAGCGGUAAGGCCCUUUCGGGGGUACACGAGCGGCGAACGGGUGAGUAACACGUGGGUGACCUGCCCUCAGCUCUGGGAUAAGCCUGGGAAACUGGGUCUAAUACCGGAUAUGACUCCAUGACGCAUGUUGUGGGGUGGAAAGCCUUGUGCGGCUGAGGAUGGGCCCGCGGCCUAUCAGCUUGUUGGUGGGGUGAUGGCCUACCAAGGCGACGACGGGUAGCCGGCCUGAGAGGACGAUCAGCCACACUGGCACUGCGACACGGGCCAGACUCCUACGGGAGGCAGCAGUAAGGAAUAUUGCGCAAUGGGCGAAAGCCUGACGCAGCGACGCCGCGUGGGGAUGAAGGUCUUCGGAUUGUAAACCCCUUUCGGGAGGGAAGAUGGAAUGGGGUAACCCAUUCGGACGGUACCUCCAGAAGCAGCCACGGCUAACUUCGUGCCAGCCGCCGCGGUAAC